AGAAACUAUUAACUACUAUUUAAAUUCGUAUUUGUAAUAUAUUCCUUAGAAAAUAAAAUCAAUAGUUUGCAAUUUAAUUUAGCGGUAUUUAAUGGUAUUGUAGAUGUGUAAAAGGGAAAUCUUGAAAAGAAAACAAUAAAUCUAAUGACCUAAAUUGAAGACCUUCGAUAAAAGAAAGAGCUUCAUCAAACUUGGUGAUACAGUCCGAGAAAGAUUCGAACAACAAUUUGAUGGUGUAGGAAGAAUUCAAGGAGUACGCAUAGAAAAUCAAGAAACUCAAGAAAAAUCCCAAAAAAGAUCUUGUAGCCAAUAAUCAAAUAUUCAACCCGGGUGAAGCACGGGUCAUAUAAUCUAGUUAUGAUUAAAACUAGAGACAGUAAAUACAAGGAACUAUGAAGAUUUAAUUUAAAAGUGUUUCUGAACGAUAUUUGAUUAAUCAUAUAUACCUGAAUGCCGAAAUAAGUUGUGAUCCAAUGUGGUCUAGGAGUGACACCAUGAUAAGACUUACAUCCAUCAAUGUAACUGGUCAUGUUAAAUGGUGCCGUUGGGAACAUUGUAUCUUGUUUGUCAUAUCCCACGGGCAUCACUAUCUCGCUGCAGCUCUAUGUAAAGAUCAUUCAUGUAAAUUUAUUUUCUCUAUUAACUAGUCGAAUUAUGAAAUAAAACCAUAUAUAAAUCAUUAAAAUAUCUUUAGAAUCCACUAAAAUCUAUCCACGAAAUUAACUAAAAUGGUUAGUGCUAUGCACCGUACGUCCGUACCCUUUUAAUGUAUGCGUUCGAUCGUGUUUUAGUAUGUUUUUAAAAGUAGAAUUUACAUACCUGCCAUCUCCAUGCGAUGUUAUUGUUUGUUGGCUGCGCAAACAUUUUUGUAUCAUAGCAAGUUCGGUUGCCUACUAAAGCGACAACACCAGCAAAAAUCCGGUCGAGUAAAUUGUAUCUACGGUUUGGUGGAUUGGCGUUGAUUGCGUUGCACACUUUGGCCACCCAAAAAUUCGGACCUCGGUUGUAUUGAACAGCUUCGGCAUAUAUUGUGUCCAAAAAGUCUUUGAUAUCGAAGCUUCCGUUCAAUGGACUGAUAAAUAAUUUUGAAGAAGAAACUAAGCAUAAAACAUAGAUUAAGUGGAAAAAAAAA
rnacentral:sRNA from 1 species